AUUGAACGCUGGCGGCAGGCCUAACACAUGCAAGUCGAACGAGUGGCGGACGGGUGAGUAAUGUCUGGGAAACUGCCUGAUGGAGGGGGAUAACUACUGGAAACGGUAGCUAAUACCGCAUACCAUCGGAUGUGCCCAGAUGGGAUUAGCUAGUAGGUGGGGUAACGGAUCACCUAGGCAACGAUCCCUAGCUGGCCUGAGAGGAUGACCGGCCACACUGGAACUGAACCACGGUCCAGCAUCCGACGGGAGGCAGCAGUGGGGAAUCUUGCAAAAUGGGCGAAAGCCUGAUGCAGCCAGGCCGCGUGUAUGAAGAAGGCCUUCGGGUUGUAAAGUACUUUCAUCAGGGAGGCGUUACCCUCAGAAGAAGCACCGGCUAACUCCGUGCCAGCAGCCGCGGUAAUUC
rnacentral:rRNA from 1 species